AAGUCGUAACAAGGUCUCCGUAGGUGAACCUGCGGAGGGAUCAUUAACACAAAGAAAAAAGCAACUCGAGCGAUCGGGGCGUUUUUUCUCUUUUUCUAUCACACCCAUCUAACGUGAACUAGUAUGCCCAUACUUUUCUUUGCAAUGCAAUGUUAAGCUUUUUGCCUGUCACAGGCAUUGCUAAUGUUGUUUUGCUAAAUUUUAUCAUUUCUGUAACACCUGCAAACCAUUUCCAAACAAAUUUUCAACAAUGUAAACUGUGAUGCAGUUCAACCAGCCUUGUGCUUGUGUUGUUUCUGUUUCUAGCAUUGACUAAUAUAUAGAGUACAACUCUUAGCAACGGAUAUCUUGGUUCUC
rnacentral:misc_RNA from 1 species